rnacentral:rRNA from 2 species
GACGAGGCACUACGGUGCUGAAGCAACAAAUGCCCUGCUUCCAGGAAAAGCCUCUAAGCAUCAGGUAACAUCAAAUCGUACCCCAAACCGACACAGGUGGUCAGGUAGAGAAUACCAAGGCGCUUGAGAGAACUCGGGUGAAGGAACUAGGCAAAAUGGUGCCGUAACUUCGGGAGAAGGCACGCUGACACGUAGGUGAAGUGAUUUACUCAUGGAGCUGAAGUCAGUCGAAGAUACCAGCUGGCUGCAACUGUUUAUUAAAAACACAGCACUGUGCAAACACGAAAGUGGACGUAUACGGUGUGACGCCUGCCCGGUGCCGGAA